rnacentral:rRNA from 1 species
AGUGAACGCUGGCGGUAGGCCUAACACAUGCAAGUCGAACGGCAGCACAGUAAGAGCUUGCUCUUACGGGUGGCGAGUGGCGGACGGGUGAGGAAUACAUCGGAAUCUACUUUUUCGUGGGGGAUAACGUAGGGAAACUUACGCUAAUACCGCAUACGACCUACGGGUGAAAGCAGGGGAUCUUCGGACCUUGCGCGAUUGAAUGAGCCGAUGUCGGAUUAGCUAGUUGGCGGGGUAAAGGCCCACCAAGGCGACGAUCCGUAGCUGGUCUGAGAGGAUGAUCAGCCACACUGGAACUGAGACACGGUCCAGACUCCUACGGGAGGCAGCAGUGGGGAAUAUUGGACAAUGGGCGCAAGCCUGUUCCAGCCAUACCGCGUGGGUGAAGAAGGCCUUCGGGUUGUAAAGCCCUUUUGUUGGGAAAGAAAAGCAGCAGGUUAAUAUCCCGCUGUUCUGACGGUACCCAAAGAAUAAGCACCGGCUAACUUCGUG